AAUUCAAGUUGAGAUUUUGCAGGGGAACACACCCAGUACGCCACGAUAACAUAGACAGAAUAUCAAAUGACUUCUCAGGUUAAAGCAGCAGCACUUCAUUCGCACUGUACAAAUAAUCUGCACCAGAAGCCUAACAAAAUCCUAGGCAACAAUGCAUAAUACUUGUCAACACCUAGAAGCUCUCCCUUUUAGCUUCUGCAAUACACACUCACGGGGAAAGAUUCGCUCAAAUAUACAAGCACAUACCAGUGGCUGCAAGAUGUUGGCCAGUGCACUCUUUUCUGAUAUCAUCCUAGGUUCCUGAGUUAGAAGCACCAUGGUUAUGAACUGCUUGAAAUCUUCUGUUGAUAAUUAAAAAUAAGGAAGCAUGCUAUCAGCUGUCAGCUUAUUGGUAGUUAGCAGCAGCAUGAUAAAUGGGCUGUGCAAGGAACCACUUGUCCCCCGAGAGCGUCCAGUGUCACGAAUAUUUCUAUUCCGCGCAAUACAAGCAAUUUAACACCAACCCCCCCUCUAUUACUCGUAGUUGCAUUAUUGGCAUGAUGCUAAAUUGACAAUACAAAUUUUUCGAUAAGGAUAAAGUGCAUAAUGUUUCAAAUUUUCGCUCCAUUACUUGUAUUUACAUAUUGUUUCGUAAAGGGAAAUUCAUCGUGACUAAAUUGCAUCAUAGGCACAGUGACUAGCAAGGUAAGGUCUAUGACAAACCCCUGACAUCCUUGAUCUGCAAGCCUGCAAUGCAUACUUUUAGUUGAGAAUGCAUGCUCACCAUAACAGAAAUACAGUAUUCAUACUUUUAGCUGAGAACAGGGGCGGAACCAGGAUGAACACCUGGGGGGGCUAAAUAGUAAAGAUUAAGAGCUAGGACUAGAAAUUAAUUGUGAUUUGAGACUUUAUCUACAGUAUUUUACAGGUAAAACAAGGCUCUCGGGGGGGUGCAGCCCCCUAGCCCUCCCCUUGGAUCCGCCCCUGGUUGAGAACAAGGGUUUUGCUAAGGUACUCCCAAAUGACUGUGGACCGUUGAUCUAAUAACAUAUUACCUCAUAGGAAGUAAUAUUAUAUCUAUUUUUUGAAUCUGAAAAUAGGAAAAGUAUUUUUCUAUUAGAUCUAACUUCCACGAUUGUACUAUAUCAUAUCUAAGUUUCUUUUUUGCCUCCCACGUGAACAUGGAUGGCGGUUCUGGUUCAAAAAACAAGAGAGAGAAGAACAUGACACCUUUAUGUGACAUGGAUCCGUUCGAAAAAAAUGUGACAUAAGUCAAGUAAAUGUGUUGCACGGAGAAAUGUGUCAUGGCCAUCUCUUUUUUUCCCCAUGCGGAUGCAGAUGUUUCGUUUCAAAGAAGAAAUGCAGAUGCAGAUGUUUCGUUUCAAAGAAGAAAUGCAGAUGCAGAUGUUAAAUUGCAUGUCAUAUGGAGAUGUUCAAGUAAACAUGAAGAUGUUCAAGUAUUUUUUUUUCUCCAUCCAGAUGCGGCCGUGUGUUCUGUUAAAAUGUUAUGACUUCGGUUGCAACUAAAAGAAAAGAAAUUGCAUGUUCACAUGCAGAUGUUGGACCUGUUCCUCCGAUCCUAAAUUGAAGGAAGCCGUGAUAAUGGGGAGCCGGUUGUUUCUUUUUUUUGUUGCUUUUUUAAUAUUUAAGGGCCUCAUUAGGUAAUCGGUGCACUGUAGCAUUGCCCUGAGAACAAACCUUUUUUCUGUAAGCUACUGCAGAUCCUACUGAUUUACUGGUGUUUAUCUUUCAGUAAUUAUUCUAGUGAUGCAGUUUCAAUAUUUUUAGUUGAGAGCAAACCCCUUGUUUGACCUAAGGCAGAUCCUAUUGAUUUACUGAUGUUUUUCCAGUAACCAUCUAGUAAGAAAAAAUGGAUGCUGUGAUGGUCCUAUUGCUACUAAUUGUCUAGCUAAUAAAAUAUGAUAAUGUGAAUGCUCCAACUCCAACAGUGCAAAAUUUUAUUGAGAACUGACAUGCCAAAUAUAAACAAAAAUUCUCUGAAGGACCACAAUAUUCAUGGAACAGCUCCCUUAUUGCAUCACGCACGGCAGAUACAUACUUCUCUGCAUCAGUACCAAAAGCUCGCUUUAGACGGAACUCAACAAAAGUAAUUUUGAAUCUCGGAUCAAGAACAACAGGUAUUGACAGCCACAAGUAUGAACUUUGCCAAUACUCAUUGAACGCUUCUUGCAUCACCCAAACCAUGUUAGCAAGUUCAGUGUGAUCAGAGGAUGCUUCUUCUUGCAAAGUUGUUCUAACUUUCCAUAGUUCAUUGAAGUAUAUAUUUGCUGUGGGGCAAACAGGACCAGAAAUUACUUCAACAGCACGAUAAAAACCCCUCAGUAUCCUGCAAACAGAUUCCACAGUUUUACUAUCUUCUGCAGAUAACAAUUCUUCUGAGGGGAAUGCCUUCUUGAAAUGCAGAAAAACUUCAAGCCUGAAGUAAAUUUUAUGCCACCAUUUCGCAUCCUCCUGUGGGCACUUCAAUCCAAUAUGUGUAACAACUUCUAAAAGUUGCUGCCGAGUCAGCGAUGAGGACAUUUGUACCUGAAUAAAUUUCUCUAGUAUGUCACCGACAUGGUGAAGCACUGGUUGCCCUUUUGAAACAAUGCUGUUAAGCACAUCAUCCACACAAGCAACAUUGUACAGUUCACCUCUAAUAGGAAGGCAUUUUCUUUGGAUGAGCAAGUCCAUCAGCUUUGAGGUACCCUCAUCCCUUCUAAUUGCAUUGACAGAUGUCAAGCUGAAAUGCUUCUGAUCAAGAUUCCAAUCUCUUAAAGCUUCCUGUAUGACAUUAAAUGGACCACUAUCAGAAUCCAGUACGCAGGCCUCCUUAAAAUGUAUCAUCCUUUCUAAACUAGUAGGUGAGGACCAAAACACACCAAAUUUGAUGAUUUUCCUUAAGUUUACAUUCAGAAUCAAUAAAAUGCACUGCCAGACAGAGAUACUUCACUGAGGCCUCAGCUCCAUGAGGAGCCCACACACUUGCUGAUAAGGAAACCCGAUGGGAUAAAAGAGCAAUCUUUUUCCUUUAGAUCAGUCUUUUCUUUCUGAAAUAAAAGAGUUGAAUACUCUUCUAUAUCAAUGCUCGAAGCCAUGUUAAAUGCAGGGUUCAGGCUCUUUGCAAACCUUUUCAUUUCUUCAUGUUCCACAAUUGACAAGGGAUAGCCAUGUUCCACAAUUGACAAGAGAUAGCCUGAUCAUCAUGUUGCUCGAUGUCGGCGCAGGCAUCAACUUCGGCGACUGCGACGGAUUAUCUGGCCCAACAUGAUCGCCGCCGGCGUCAGGACGGCCGACGACCCAGCAGCACCCAUCGGCCCCGCGCUCGCAGGGUUCGCCGGUGCACGUGCGUUCAUGCGGCGCAACCUCGCCGUCGUGGGGCUCGUCAUGGUAUCCUCUGCUUUCACAGCGGUUGACAGGCCCGGCGUUCUCCUUCAUGAUAUUUGUCCUGCUGGUGUUCGGAGUCUCUGUGAUCAACAUCGGAGUCCAUGGUGCCUUAUGAAAGCAAUUUCAAGCUAUCCUAAAAUAAGUAGACAUUUGUAUAAACUAGAAUAACCAUAUAACUGGUGCGUAUUUCAAACAGCUCAUCCUUUGGAUUUAUUCAAAUCAUCAGCCUAGCGAAAAAAAAGUCUAGGCCAUCAAACAGACGAGCCUGCUUACAUUCUCGGACCAGUAGCUUUUGAAGAAGCUCUGAGUAAGAAACUGAGCAAUAACAACGACGACAGUGGAACAGAAUUUCCAGAGCCCGCCUAUCCUAGACUUAGAGAAAACCGGCCAUUGCCAUGGAGACGCCGGCGAACAUGACGACGGCCAGUCCGAAAGCCACCACCGGGGUGACGGCGCCAACGGCGACGGCAUGGACAGCUGAGGAUGCGGCCACGAUCCCCAGCAUAGAUGAGAGGCUGCCACGACCGCGACGGUGCUCGUUUCCCCGCCCGUCGUCUUCACCGGACGCCUUCUUGGCUCCCGGUGAAGCCAGCAAUCAGACUUCACCGCCUUGGCACCUCUUGAGUCGUCUGGUGAACCAGUUGAAAGAUGAUAGAUGGUAGGAUAUCCAAGAGAGUUCAACUGUGCUGACAACACUACUAUCCGAAGUUCCCAACAGCAUGGAAUCAACAGUACCAUCCGCAAAUGUGCUGACAACAGUACUGACAACUAUCCAAGAGAGUCAUGCCGGUGGAACAACGAGGAACCAAAAUCAGUUAAGAGUCCUGCCGCACGGCAGCCACCCGGUGGAAGCUGUUCAGUUCUCUCAUGCUACAUGACAAAUUAUUUGUCCAAAACGUCAUCUUAUUCUGAACAGAGAUAGCAUGUAGCAGAUUCUUAGUUGAUUAGCAUUUCCUAGGACAAGAAUAAUUUUAGGAAACUUGCAAACAGAUACUCAAAACAUCACGCUUUCAUCAAACUAUGCACGUGAUUGCAUUUUAUCCAAUGCUGACACAUAGUUUUUUUUUUUGAAGAAACAGGAGGGGAGGGUCCCUACUGGUUAUACGAGAGCGAAGCAAAAGGGAAAACAGAAAAGAAAACAUACUACAAGGUGUGCAGCCUGUCAUUAUUUGUCUUACAUCAUCUCUCAGAAGAGACAGUAUGGCAUUACAUGGCCAGAGGAAAGAAGGACACUUGAACUAUAGUAGCGCACAUUCAUUAUUUGAGCCCACACGGCAUGAGAAUGACAGCAAGCAGGAGGCAGCAGCAGCAACAGAUACUCAAUGCAUCUGGGAGAGGCCAAGAAUCCCAACGCUGAUCAGGGAGAGGCCGAGGAGGAGCAGAGCAAACAUGCCGAAGCAGAGCACCUGGCCUGCUUCGCCGGAGACCGCCGUGACGGCGCAGGAAGCCAUCACGAGCCCCACGACGGCGAGGUUGCGACCAAGGAACUCUGCGAGAGCACGCGCCUCGGCCAACACCGCCGGGACGACGGGCGCCAGGAUGCCGACGGCGACGAUGUUGGCGCCGGCGAGAACCCCCGCGAAGCAGAGCAGCAAGCCGAAUCCGCCGGCGCCGGAGUUGAAUCCGGCGCUGACGGAGAACAGCAAGAUGGCGAGGCCGGCGAACAUCGCCGUGGUGCCCGGAGUGGUCAUCGUCGGCCGCGUGGCACCGCAGUCCCCUGCUUAAUUGGAGAGGGCCGUCGAGCGAGCAGGCGAGGCACCGCCGCACCGGGGAGGGAAGCGUUGCCGAAGAGGCAAAGAAUGCAGCGGGAGGAGGAGGAGGAUGAGCUGGGCGGUGCGCAGCGGACGGGGAGAGCCGGAGGAGCGAGAUGGUUGGGGUAGGGGAGGCCGGGGAGGGCAUUUAUACCGGGGAAGGGGAGAGGUAGCCGGGCUGGGACGAGGCCUAAAGGUGGCAACGGACAUUAGUUUUAUACCGAGAGGUGGCCGGGCCGCCGGCCCGCCGGGUGCAAAGUCUGAUAAAUGAUGCGUGGGGUCCGCCGUGGUGUCGACAACCCUCACCUGCCGCCUGGGCGUAGGAAGUGUUAAGGAAGUAAGCAAUUACUAGCCAUACACUAUUAAGAUAUAACAUAUUUUUCAAAGAGUAUAAAUAAUUAUAUAAUUUUCUAGAUUUCAAGUGUUCAACAAAUAGGCUCAAACAAUACAUAGAAUAUUGAAGGUAGAAAAGUACUAAAUUAAGAGUCUUUCAUGAAAAAAAAAGAACUAUACAUGUCUUCAUGAAUUAACACCACUUCCACUUGUUCCGACGACCUCAAUUCCACAUAAAAAUUUUCAACAUCUCAGCCCUAUAACAUUAUGUAUUGAAAUAGACUAACACAACACAAGUAAACAACACAACAACACGCACCAUGUUAAUACUAAUUACUACCGGGAUAUUUGAUUCUUAUUUAUAGUGACGAUUAUAUGUCUCUGAAGGAUAUUUGAGAUUUUUUUGUUUAUAUAAGUUUUUUUAAUACUGCCAUGUUGGGGUUGAUUACUGUUCCAAUUUGAUACAAAUUUAUUUUCUGGGAACUUGUCGGAAUAUGUUCCUAAUUUAUUGAUAGGCUUUUGGUUUAGACGGACAAAUUGCAGCUCUCGUUUCUUAAACCUUGAAAGCGCUUUUGAAUGCGGCUGGAGAUUCCCACCGUCGUGUCGUGUCGUGUCGGCAACCGAUGAGAUUGGAUUCAUAUCAUAUUGUUGCGGCCGCACUGCUUCGGAGGAAGUUGAAGAAUUGGAGAAGAAGGUAACGGACACUGGCCGGGCCGCCGUGGUGUCCAGUGGAUGUUUGGGAGGAGAGGGGUAGAGGACUAUGUAUAUCAUAUUGUUAUUGAUGCCACACUUCGUGGGAAACUCUGGGCAUCCCACAUGCGUUCUCUGAAACUCUGAAUAAAAUAUGAUUAAACCAUCCGGCGGCGCGCGCUGCCGUCGUGUCGUCGCCUGCAGCUCACUGGCGUCAAGGACAGCGCGUGGGCCCAGCUCACUGUUGACGCGCGAUGUUGCAGCUCGAGUGAACAUCGCAGUAUCGGCAUUCCACUCAGUUCAGGUCGAUGGACUGGCUGGUGGGGUCAGGUCGCGAGGACCCCGACCCAGUUCAUGAUCUGGGCUGAAACGGGCUGUUUACGUGCUACCGGCCACUUACUGGGCCUUCGGCGCAUUAGAAAUUGGGUUGUGUUUCCCCACGAACUGGGUCCGAAUAGCGGCACAACAUGGAUUCGGGCCCAGCUGGAUGUCGCUUUCCUCUCGCCUGGAAACCUCGAAUGGACACAUUUCCUAGCUGGCGCCAUUCACAAAAUGCAAUAUGAGUGCCUUAAAAUUCAAGUUGAGAUUUUGCAGUACGCCACGAUAACAUAGACAGAAUAUCAAAUGACUUCUCAGGUUAAAGCAGCAGCACAUCAUUCGCACUGUACAAAUAAUCUGCACCAGAAGCCUAACAAAAUCCUAGGCAACAAUGCAUAAUACAUGUCAACACCUAGAAGCUCUCCUUUUUAGCUUCUGCAAUACACACUCCCGGGGAAAGAUUCGCUC
rnacentral:lncRNA from 1 species